UUGGAGGGCAAGUCUGGUGCCAGCAGCCGCGGUAAUUCCAGCUCCAAUAGCGUAUAUUAAAGUUGUUGCAGUUAAAAAGCUCGUAGUUGAAUUUCGGGAUCAACAUGUCGGUCGUGCCUCCGGUACGUACUGGCAUCGUUGGUUUCUACCUUCUGACAAACCAUGAUGUCAUUAAUUUGGUGUCAUGGGGAAUCAGGACUGUUACUUUGAAAAAAUUAGAGUGUUUAAAGCAGGCACACGCUUGAAUACAUUAGCAUGGAAUAAUGAAAUAGGACGUUUGACCCUAUUUUGUUGGUUUCUAGGAUCGACGUAAUGAUUAAUAGGGAUAGUUGGGGGCAUUAGUAUUCAAUUGUCAGAGGUGAAAUUCUUGGAUUUAUUGAAGACUAACUACUGCGAAAGCAUUUGCCAAGGAUGUUUUCAUUAAUCAAGAACGAAAGUUAGGGGAUCGAAGACGAUCAGAUACCGUCGUAGUCUUAACCAUAAACUAUGCCGACUAGGGAUCGGAUGAUGUUAUUUUUAAUGACUCAUUCGGCGCCUUACGGGAAAC
rnacentral:rRNA from 1 species